rnacentral:rRNA from 1 species
GCAAGAUACCACGGGCGCACGGCGGAUGCCUUGGCACAGGGAGCCGAUGAAGGACGCGGCAAGCUGCGAUAAUCCCCGGCGAGGAGCACACAUCCUUCGACCCGGGGGUCUCCGAAUGGGCGAACCCAUCCGUAGCGGUACGGAUAUCCCCCCGCUGAACGCAUAGGCGGGGGGAGGACAACCCGGGGAACUGAAACAUCUAAGUACCCGGAGGAGAGGAAAUCAAUCUCGAGACUCCCCGAGUAGCGGCGAGCGAAAGGGGACCGAUGGCCAAACCGUCGAGCGGGCGUACCCGGCAGGGGUUCCGCCGGCGGGGUUGCAGGGCCGCGCAUCCGGGGGCUGCCGCCCCCGGGCGCAGGUCCGGCUGGGGAGCGGAACGGCAUGGGAGGGCCGGCCGCAGCGGGUGACAGCCCCGUACGCGAACCCAGACCGGACGGCGCGACGCGGUCCCUGAGUAGGGCCGGGCACGUGAAACCCGGUCCGAACCUGGGUGGACCACCAUCCAAGCCUGAGUACUACCCUGUGACCGAUAGCGCACCAGUACCGUGAGGGAAAGGUGAAAAGCACCCCGGGAGGGGAGUGAAACAGUACCUGAAACCGUGCGCCCACGAGCAGUCGGAGCAACUUUCAGUUGUGACGGCGUGCCUUUUGUAGAAUGAGCCAGCGAGUCGCUGGCGCGGGGCGAGGUUAACCGAAAGGGAGCCGGAGCGAAAGCGAGCCUUAACAGGGCGACUUGAGUCCCGCGCCGCGGACGCGAAGCCGGGUGAGCUAUCCGUGGGCAGGCUGAAGCGGGGGUAAGACCCCGUGGAGGGCCGAACGCACGUCGGUUGAAAACGGCGGCGAUGACCUGCGGAUAGGGGUGAAAGGCCAAUCAAACCCGGAGAUAUCUCGUUCUCCCCGAAAUAGCUUUAGGGCUAGCGUCGCGCGUUCACCGCCGGAGGUAGAGCACCGGAUGGACGAGGGGGCUUCGCCGCCUACCGAAUCCAACCGAACUCCGAAUGCCGGCGGCCCAGAGCGCGGCAGUCAGAGCAUGUGGGCUAAGCUGUGUGCUCGAGAGGGAAACAGCCCGGACCGCCCGCUAAGGUCCCCAAGUUCCAGCCGAGUGGCAAAGGAUGUGCGUCCGCCCAGACAACCAGGAUGUUGGCUUAGAAGCAGCCAUGCAUUCAAAGAGUGCGUAACAGCUCACUGGUCGAGUGGACAUGCGCCGACAAUACACGGGGCUAAGCUGGACACCGAAGCGGCGGGAUUUUACCUAAGUAGAAUCGGUAGGGGAGCUUCCCAUGGGCGGAGAAGCCGGAGGGCGACCGACGGUGGAGCGCAUGGGAGUGAGAAUGCUGGCAUGAGUAGCGAGAGACGAGAGAGUAACUCGUCCGCCGUGAACCCGAGGUUUCCUGGGCAAGGCUAAUCCUCCCAGGGUCAGUCGGGGGCUAAGGCGAGGCCGGCAGGCGUAGCCGACGCGCAGCAGGCAGACAUUCCUGCACCGCGCACGCGGCGCUACGACCGACGGGGCGACGGAUGGGGGUGGCUCGGCGGGGUUCUGGACGUCCCCGUGAUGGAGCGCGGCCCGCGGACCAGGGAAAUCCGGUCCGCAUCGAGGGCGAGGCUCCGGACGAAGCGAUCAAGCGAAGCGAGUGAGCCCGAGGUCCCUAGAAAAACCCCUAGGCAGGCGCGUGCGCGCCCGUACCGCAAACCGACACAGGUGGGUGGGUAGAACAUACCGAGGCGAUCGGGUCAACCAUGGUCAAGGAACUCGGCACAAUGGCCCCGUAACUUCGGGAGAAGGGGUGCCCGCGCGUACGUGAACGGACUUGCUCCGGGAGCGGAGGCGGGCCGCAGUGGAGAGGCCCAAGCGACUGUUUACCAAAAACACAGGACUCUGCAGAAGCCGCAAGGCGACGUAUAGGGUCUGACGCCUGCCCGGUGCCGGAAGGUCACGCGGAGGAGUUAGCGCACCGCGCGAAGCCCCGAAGCCAAGCCCCGGUAAACGGCGGCCGUAACUAUAACGGUCCUAAGGUAGCGAAAUUCCUUGUCGGGUAAGUUCCGACCUGCACGAA